CUCGUCUGAUUAUCAGUUUCAUGUUGAUGGACUGAGCAUGGGAGAUUUUCAAGUGAACAUUACAUCGUCUUGGAUAACCCAAGGACUGUUUUGUAUCAGUCAAUGGUGAAUACUGAUGGUUUUUAAGACCAGAUAGUAUGGCUGUCCUGAGAGCAUGGGGCCAAUGUCUGUCAGUAAUCCUUACCGAGUACGUUCUUUUCCUGGCGAAAACAGAAGCUCAGUGCCAACUUGCCCACUCCUCAAACCAAAAGCAUCAGUACAGGGUGCCCAAGCUGACCUCGGUAUUCCUCGACGAUCCCUCUCUACAACAACCAUCAAAACGGGAUCGCGGAAUUGUGUUACAUAUUGUCCAGACUGACCACUGGAUAUCAGUUGUGACAGGUAAGUACGUUUUCGAAUACCAUCUCACGUAUUCUGCUUUGUUCCCAAACCAAGGCGAGCAUAGACAUCAUCUCUGUACUGUACUAACAGUUAUGAAAACAUCACAUUUUAGCAACACUGCGUGGGUGACAUGUAUCGUUUUCAUUCUCGAUAUGAACUGACAAAUUAUUGUUAGAAAGAGGAGGUACGUGUACGUGUAUAUAGCGAUCGCUGUUUAUGUGUGCUCAUAUCUUAAAAACUAA